rnacentral:rRNA from 1 species
GACCUACGGGAGGCAGCAGUGAGGAAUAUUGGUCAAUGGGCUUACGCCUGAACCAGCCAAGUCGCGUGAGGGAAGACUGCCCUAUGGGUUGUAAACCACUUUAGUAGAGAACGAAAAGGAGCUAUCGAAUAAAUAGCUCUGCUGACGGUACUCUAAGAAUAAGCACCGGCUAACUACGUGCCAGCAGCCGCGGUAAUACGUAGGGUGCGAGCGUUAAUCGGAAUUACUGGGCGUAAAGGGUGUGCAGGCGGCUGAGUAAGACAGAUGUGAAAUCCCCGGGCUUAACCUGGGAACCGCAUAUGUGA